rnacentral:rRNA from 1 species
AUUGAACGCUGGCGGCAAGCCUAACACAUGCAAGUCGAACGAGUGGCGGACGUGUGAGUUAUGUCUGGGAAACUGCCUGAUGGAGGGGGAUAACUACUGGAAAGGGUAGCUAAUACCGCAUACCAUCGGAUGUGCCCAGGUGGGAUUAGCUGGUAGGUGGGGUAAAGGCGCACCUCGGCGACGAUCCCUAGCUGGUUUGAGAGGAUGACCAGCCAAACGGGAACGGAGACACGGUCCAGCGUCCCAGGGGAGGAAGCAGGGGGGAAGAUUGCAAAAUGGGCGAAAGCCUGAUGCAGCCAUGCAGCGUGUAUGAAGAAGGCCUUCGGGUUGUAAAGUACUUUCAGCGUGGAGGCGUUACCCGCAGAAGAAGCACCGGCUAACUCCGUGCCAGCAGCCGCGGUAAUAC